rnacentral:misc_RNA from 1 species
CUAAGAACUCUCGCCUGCG